GCCCCUCUAGCUCAGUUGGUAGAGCACGUCCUUGGUAAGGACGAGGUCGCCGGUUCAAUCCCGGUGGGGGGCU
rnacentral:tRNA from 2 species